rfam:Stegodyphus mimosarum contig100317, whole genome shotgun sequence.
AAAACGGCUCUUUUCAGGGCCACACACUCCCGGCAAUGAGUUGUGU